ACGGAAGGCAGCAGUGGGGAAUAUUGCACAAUGGGCGCAAGCCUGAUGCAGCAACGCCGCGUGAGGGAUGACGGUUUUCGGAUUGUAAACCUCUGUUCUUAGUGACGAAAAAUGACGGUAGCUAAGCAGCAAGCCACGGCUAACUACGUGCCAGCAGCCGCGGUAAUACGUAGGUGGCGAGCGUUAUCCGGAAUUACUGGGUGUAAAGGGAGCGCAGGCGGGAUAUCAAGUCAGCGGUGAAAUUUAUGGGCUCAACCCGUAAACUGCCGUUGAAACUGUUAUUCUUGAGUGGAGUAGAGGCAGGCGGAAUUCCGAGUGUAGCGGUGAAAUGCGUAGAUAUUCGGAGGAACACCAGUGGCGAAGGCGGCCUGCUGGGCUCUAACUGACGCUGAGGCUCGAAAGUGUGGGGAGCAAACAGGAUUAGAUACCCUGGUA
rnacentral:rRNA from 1 species